rnacentral:rRNA from 1 species
UGGGGAAUUUUGGACAAUGGGCGCAAGCCUGAUCCAGCCAUGCCGCGUGCGGGACGAAGGCCUUCGGGUUGUAAACCGCUUUCAGCCGGAAAGAAAUCGCUGUUUUUAAUACAGACAGUGGAUGACGGUACCGGAAGAAGAAGCACCGGCUAACUACGUGCCAGCAGCCGCGGUAAUACGUAGGGUGCGAGCGUUAAUCGGAAUUACUGGGCGUAAAGCGUGCGCAGGCGGUUUUGUAAGCCAGACGUGAAAUCCCCGGGCUUAACCUGGGAACUGCGUUUGGAACUGCAAGACUAGAGUGUGUCAGAGGGAGGUGGAAUUCCACGUGUAGCAGUGAAAUGCGUAGAUAUGUGGAGGAACACCGAUGGCGAAGGCAGCCUCCUGGGAUAACACUGACGCUCAUGCACGAAAGCGUGGGGAGCAAACAGG